rnacentral:rRNA from 1 species
CAGCAGCCGCGGUAAUACGAAGGGUGCAAGCGUUAAUCGGAAUUACUGGGCGUAAAGCGUGCGUAGGCGGUGAGUUAAGUCUGCUGUGAAAUCCCCGGGCUCAACCUGGGAAUGGCAGUGGAUACUGGCUCGCUAGAGUGUGUCAGAGGAUGGUGGAAUUCCCGGUGUAGCGGUGAAAUGCGUAGAGAUCGGGAGGAACAUCAGUAGCGAAGGCGGCCAUCUGGGACAACACUGACGCUGAGGCAGGAAAGCGUGGGGAGCAAACAGGAUUAGAUACCCCUGUAGUCCCUGUCUCUUAUAC